GCUCUUCCCUGCACCUUGUUCUUUCCGAUAGAAGCAUUUUUCCUGCCUCACUUAGAUGAUGACGGCGCUAUUCAGAUACGUUUAGUGACGUGGCAGAAGCAGAUGCCAUUUCUAAACUAAGGACGGGGCUGGGAUGAGGAAAGGGAGGUAUUUAAUUUGACCGUUUCUGCCUCCUUCUGUCAGACAUAUUCGACAGGAUUUAUUCAGUGCUUGAGGUAAGUCAGGCAUUUUUAUAAAUGCCUGGGAACACGAAACAAAAAGUAGGUGGCAAAGCUUCGAUUUAAUUGGAAAGACUGCAUAACUUUUUGCACCUCUGAACGACUGGUCUGGGAGGAGAUGGAGGCUGGGCUUCCUGCAGUGUAGACGGGGUCUGUUACACCCGCUCCCUCCCAGAACUGCUGGAUCCCAAUCUGCAGUUUCACAAGCCCCCAGGUGACUUAUCCACGCACUUUCAAGUGUGAGAUGGGCAGCUCUGGAGGGCACCCAGGAGCUCCUUCAAAUAUUUGGAAGACCAACAUUUGAAAGAGUAAGUGUAUUUGUUUUGCUUUGCUCUAAAAGGUAGGUUUAAGUUUAAUUAACAUAAGCCACAAGAAAACAAGAUUUCCAAAUCCUGUACUCAACAGGGGAUUUGGAGUUGGGCCUUCUCCCAAACCUUACUGGCUUGUUACUAGUCGCCAGGUGAGCUGAAGCUGGAGGAACUCGGCGAAACUUCGUCUCUCUGAUUCUUAUGACUCCUAAGAUGGGAAUGUUGUUCUCUAGCCCUCACUGGGUGACUGCUGUUGGCUUUUUCCCAUCUAAUGAGAUAGGAAAUUUGAAAGUUGUAAUUAUUAACUGCCCGGGUCCGAGGUAGAGCGCUUUGCUCUGUGAGGUAGUUAGUGGCUUGUCACACAUUGAGGGACAGUGCAAAUGGAGGUGGGGAUGUGUAUUUGGGGCUCCUGUGAAAUUCAGUAUGGUUGGGGCAUGUAGUGGGGAUGGAGGUGGAGGUGGAGGUGAAGAAUACGAGAGCUGAUGGCAAAA
rnacentral:lncRNA from 1 species